GGAGAGCAGGGAGGAGGUGGGCCUGAGACAAAAGACAAGGGUGCUGUUGACGUACUCUGGCACCGAGCUCACUCUGAGGAUUUGACGUGUGCAAACAAGCAGCUGCAGUAUGGAGCCCAUCUCUCAGACCAUGGAGGCAGCAGAUGCUCAUCUGCAGAGGCGUGGGUGGAGGUUUGUGACCAAACGGGGAGCUUCAUCACAGUUCGUGGGGAGCACCAUGAUGAUCAUGACCACUUAUGCCGUCACCACCCUGACUAUGAACCUGGGGAAAAAAAUACAGGAGCGAAGAUCGAGACCGAACGGCAACUAAAGAUGGCCUCAUCAGAGACCCGGACUCACUGCCUUCACCCUGUAACGAUGUCGGCAGCAACGCCCGGAAGAGAUCAGAAAUGGUUGGCCUCAACUUUGAUGCUUCAUUCAACUCAUCUCAACUUUACUUUGUGAAGCUGGGAGGUGGUCUUUCACCUUAACCUGAGGUCAUUACCAUAAAUGAAUGAUGACAAAUGGACAUGAAUACAUCACAUGCACUGCUGCCGUAUGACCACAGGGUGGAGAACUGGGACUACUUUAGGACCACCAGCCCGCUAGAGGCUGAAUGUGUCAGACAGUUCAGACAUUAAAAAACAAAGACAGUGGCAUUUUUUGAACCCGUUAAAUGCAUUUAAAGAACGAUGAUUAGAGCUAUGUCGAUGUUCUGUGACUAACAAGUAGAACUCUGAUAAUUUGUCCUUGUAUUCUGAGUUUCUUUCUUUUUUUUAAAAUCAUCAUAAAGUUGCCUUUUAAGUUUAAAACAAGCCUGUGUGACAGCGGAUUGUAAAAACUGUAAAAUAUCAGGUCGCUCGAGUGUUUCUCGUGAGACAGAAAAUUAUUGUAAUGCUG
ensembl:lncRNA